rnacentral:rRNA from 1 species
CGUCUAGGCGGCUUGGUAAGCGGAACGUGAAAGUCCGGGGCUCAACCCCGGAAGGCCAUUCCGAACUGCCAGGCUAGAGUGCGGGAGAGGGCAGUGGAAUUCCCGGUGUAGCGGUGAAAUGUUUAGAUAUCGGGAGGAACACCAGUGGCGAAGGCGGCUGCCUGGACCGUUACUGACGCUGAAGCGCGAAAGCCAGGGGAGCGAACGGGAUUAGAUACCCCGGUAGUCCUGGCCCUAAACGAUGAGCACUAGGUGUUGGGAGCAUCAACCCUCUCAGUGCCGUAGCCAACGCAUUAAGUGCUCCGCCUGGGGAGUACGGCCGCAAGGUUAAA